CUCAGCACAGCAGCCCGAUGCACGGCGACGCCAGGCAGUCGACGGUCUGAGAGAAGGACUAAGGCGCUAGUGCGGAUUUGUUGGCUAUCCAUAGCUGUCUGAAGAUAUCAGGUAUCAGAACUAGCAGUUCAAAUCAACUCUGAGAAUUAAAUGGCAGCAGAACUCUUUACCUAGUGCUACAGAGGACUGGAAGGUAAGUUGCAGGGAAGCUGUAGACAUUUAAUAGCCUGACACACAGGAAAAAAGAAAUGAAAUGAUGGUGUUGUUGCCAUGCCCAAAGCUGCUCCAUGCAGUGCUGUACUGCCGGAUUAUUCCUAACAAGGAUGGCAUGAAAGGAUGCGUGAGGCUGUCACUGUAAAACGCCUGACACUGAUGGCCAUUGUUGUAACUGUAUGCACUGUGACUUGUUACACAGUGCAGCCUCUGCC